rnacentral:rRNA from 1 species
ACCUUCGGGUCUAGUGGCGCACGGGUGCGUAACGCGUGGGAAUCUGCCCUUGGGUUCGGAAUAACAGUUGGAAACGACUGCUAAUACCGGAUGAUGACUUCGGUCCAAAGAUUUAUCGCCCAGGGAUGAGCCCGCGUCGGAUUAGCUAGUUGGUGAGGUAAAGGCUCACCAAGGCAACGAUCCGUAGCUGGUCUGAGAGGAUGAUCAGCCACACUGGGACUGAGACACGGCCCAGACUCCUACGGGAGGCAGCAGUGGGGAAUAUUGGACAAUGGGCGAAAGCCUGAUCCAGCAAUGCCGCGUGAGUGAUGAAGGCCUUAGGGUUGUAAAGCUCUUUUACCCGGGAAGAUAAUGACUGUACCGGGAGAAUAAGCCCCGGCUAACUCCGUGCCAGCAGCCGCGGUAAUACGGAGGGGGCUAGCGUUGUUCGGAAUUACUGGGCGUAAAGCGCACGUAGGCGGCUUUGUAAGUUAGAGGUGAAAGCCCGGGGCUCAACUCCGGAAUU